rnacentral:rRNA from 1 species
AACGAACGCUGGCGGCAGGCCGAACACAUGCAAGUCGAACGAGACCUCCGGGUUUAGUGGCGAAUGGGGGAGUAAAGCGUGGGAAACUGCCCGUAGGUUCGGAACAAGUCCCUGAAAGGGGUGCUAAUACCGGAGAAUGUCUUCGGACCAAAGAUGUUGCGCCUUUGUGUGGGCCGGCGAUGGUUUAGCUUGUUGGUAGGGUAAAAGCCUACCAAGGCGACGAUCCAUAGCUGGUCUGAGAGGAUGAUCAGCCACACUGGGACUGGGACACGGCCCAGACUCCUACGGGAGGCAGCAGUGGGGGAUAUUGGACAAUGGGCGUAAUCCUGAUCCAGCGAUGCCGCGUGAGUGAUGUAGGCCUUAGAGUUGUAAAGCUCUUUUACCCGAGAUGAUAGUGACGGUACCGGGAGAAUAAGCUCCGGCUAACUCCGUG